GUGGGGAAUCUUAGACAAUGGGGGAAACCCUGAUCUAGCCAUGCCGCGUGAGCGAUGAAGGCCUUAGGGUUGUAAAGCUCUUUCAGAUGGGAAGAUAAUGACGGUACCAUCAGAAGAAGCCCCGGCUAACUCCGUGCCAGCAGCCGCGGUAAUACGGAGGGGGCUAGCGUUGUUCGGAAUUACUGGGCGUAAAGCGCACGUAGGCGGACCAGAAAGUCAGAGGUGAAAUCCCAGGGCUCAAACUUGGAACUGCCUUUGAAACUCCUGGUCUUGAGGUCGAGAGAGGUGAGUGGAAUUCCGAGUGUAGAGGGGAAAUUCGUAGAUAUUCGGAGGAACACCAGUGGCGAAGGCGGCUCACUGGCUCGAUACUGACGCUGAGGUGCGAAAGCGUGGGGAGCAAACAGGAUUAGAUACCCCGGUAGUCC
rnacentral:rRNA from 1 species